rnacentral:siRNA from 1 species
AAGUGGAACAGGUUUGCUACAUA